GGCUGGAGCGCACCAGGGCUUAGCUCCGCCUCCUGAGGUCCACAACAAACCCCACCAGGGUUAAGCUCCACCUCCUUAGGUCCAUAACAAACCCCACCAGGGCUUAGCUCCGCCUCCUUAGGUCCACAACAAACCCCACCAGGCCUUUGCUUCGCCUCCUUAGGUCCAUAACAAACCCCACCAGGGCUUAGCUCCGCCUCCUUAGGUCCACAACAAACCCCACCAGGCCUUUGCUUCGCCUCCUUAGGUCCACAACAAACUCAACCAGGGCUUAGCUCCGCCUCCUGAGGUCCACAACAAGCCCCACCAGACCUCAGCUCCGCCUCCUUAGGUCCACAACAAACCCCACCAGGGUUUAGCUCCGCCUCCUUAGGUCAACAACAACACC